UACAGAGGUCUCAAGCGUUGUUCGGAUUCAUUGGGCGUAAAGGGUGCGUAGGCGGCGCGGUAAGUCGGGUGUGAAAUCUCGGAGCUUAACUCCGAAACUGCAUUCGAUACUGCCGUGCUUGAGGACUGGAGAGGAGACUGGAAUUUACGGUGUAGCGGUGAAAUGCGUAGAUAUCGUAAGGAAGACCAGUGGCGAAGGCGGGGUCUCUGGACAGUUCCUGACGCUGAGGCACGAAGGUCAGGGGGAGCAAACGGG
rnacentral:rRNA from 1 species